rnacentral:miRNA from 1 species
UUGUGGGACUCCUAACAGCAGGAGCGGGAUUUGUCUCUGAUUUUGUUGCCUGCCUUUUGGAUCCUUUCC